rnacentral:ribozyme from 14 species
CACCCCGCAAAUAUAUUAUUUGAUGAUAGUAAAUAGUAUAUAUGAAGAAUGAAAAAAAGAGCU